UGUUCCUACGGGGCGCAGCAGCCGCGGUAAUACGUAGGUGGCAAGCGUUAUCCGGAUUUAUUGGGCGUAAAGGGAACGCAGGCGGUCUUUUAAGUCUGAUGUGAAAGCCUUCGGCUUAACCGGAGUAGUGCAUUGGAAACUGGGAGACUUGAGUGCAGAAGAGGAGAGUGGAACUCCAUGUGUAGCGGUGAAAUGCGUAGAUAUAUGGAAGAACACCAGUGGCGAAAGCGGCUCUCUGGUCUGUAACUGACGCUGAUGUUCGAAAGCGUGGGGAGCAAAUAGGAUUAGAUACCCUAGUAGUCCAA
rnacentral:rRNA from 1 species